UGAAACCUUGUCUGAAUAUGGGGGGACCAUCCUCCAAGGCUAAAUACUCCUGACUGACCGAUAGUGAACCAGUACCGUGAGGGAAAGGCGAAAAGAACCCCUGUGAGGGGAGUGAAAUAGAUCCUGAAACCGCAUGCAUACAAGCAGUGGGAGCACCUUCGUGGUGUGACUGCGUACCUUUUGUAUAAUGGGUCAGCGACUUAUAUUCAGUAGCGAGGUUAACCGUAUAGGGGAGCCGUAGAGAAAUCGAGUCUUAAUAGGGCGUUUAGUUGCUGGGUAUAGACCCGAAACCAGGCGAUCUAUCCAUGAGCAGGUUGAAGGUUGGGUAACACUAACUGGAGGACCGAACCCACUGUCGUUGAAAAGCCAGGGGAUGACUUGUGGAUAGGGGUGAAAGGCUAAUCAAGCCUGGUGAUAGCUGGUUCUCCCCGAAAGCUAUUUAGGUAGCGCCUCGGACGAAUACCAUAGGGGGUAGAGCACUGUUUCGGCUAGGGGGUCAUCCCGACUUACCAAACCGAUGCAAACUCCGAAUACCUAUGAGUACUAUCCGGGAGACAGACUGCGGGUGCUAACGUCCGUAGUCAAGAGGAAAACAAUCCAGACCGCCAGCUAAGGCCCCAAAAUCAUAGUUAAGUGGGAAACGAUGUGGGAAGGCAUAGACAGCUAGGAGGUUGGCUUAGAAGCAGCCACCCUUUAAAGAAAGCGUAAUAGCUCACUAGUCGAGUCGGCCUGCGCGGAAGAUGUAACGGGGCUAAAA
rnacentral:rRNA from 1 species